rnacentral:rRNA from 1 species
GACAGAGGGGGCGAGCGUUGUCCGGAGUCACUGGACGUAAAGCGCGAGCAGGCGGCAACCUAAGUGUCGUGUGAAAGCCCCCGGCUCAACCGGGGGAGGCCAUGGCAAACUGGGUCGCUCGAGCUGCGGAGAGGCCCCUCGAAUUGCCGGUGUAGCGGUGAAAUGCGUAGCGAUCGGCAGGAAGAGCAAGGGGGAAGCCAGGGGGCUGGCGGCAGGCGGACGCUGAGGCGCGACAGCGUGGGGAGCAAACCGG